ensembl:miRNA
GACCAACCUCGCUGGUUGGCCUGGGACUGAGUGGGUUGCUGGGAAACGGGACUUUCAGUGCU